rnacentral:rRNA from 1 species
CACGUAGGGUGCAAGCGUUGUCCGGAAUUAUUGGGCGGAAAGAGCUCGUAGGCGGUGUGUCGCGUCGGCCGUGAAAACCUGCAGCUUAACUGUGGGCUUGCGGUCGAUACGGGCAUCACUGGAGUUCGGCAGGGGAGACUGGAAUUCCUGGUGUAGCGGUGAAAUGCGCAGAUAUCAGGAGGAACACCGGUGGCGAAGGCGGGACUCUGGGCCGAUACUGACGCUGAGGAGCGAAAGCGUGGGGAGCAAACAGG